rnacentral:lncRNA from 1 species
CUUUUAAGCAAGCGGAUGUUGAAGAGAAUGUGCUUGGAAAUGACAUCUGAGGAAAUCAGCAUAGUCUGCAAACUGCCUGUGGCCCCAUCAUUCACAUACGCAGGUCUUUUGAGACGAACUUGUUUGACUGAUAUUCCUCAACAAGGUAGUAAUACAUGGUGAAUCAUACCCACAACCUGCAUAUAACCCAUCAUCAAUCCAACACACUUUGGAAACAUACAGCCAUUUGCUAGAUGUAACAUUAGAACAGAAUUUAAAGCCCAUUCAACACUUUGCACAGAUGACAGCCAAAGCUAUUAUAGACUCAGCCGUCAGGAUCAGAAACCCAAGAGAAUCCGUCAACGUGAGAGGGGACGAUGUUGAGAUGCUAGCUGAAGAGUUAACUUUACAAGUCUUUUGCAAAGCAUUGGAAGAGAUGUAGAGGCAUCAUCACUCUGAUGAUCCAUCAUCCAGAAGUACGGGGUUGUGGAGGGGACUUAUGGAAAUGCAUUGGUUCUGUGCUCUUCGGGGUACAACUGUGAUAAAAACACAUCUGAAAUGGAAACAGACAACAAGAUGGAAGAAUAUGAUGACACAUCUACCACAGUAUAUGCUACUUCCUUGAAGAGCAUGGCUAGUCUGGGCUCUAUUGAGUACCCUGAUGCUCCUCCAAGCACCCCUUUACUUCCGGAGAUGAUAAAGAGUCGAGACAGUUUCACAAGGAAACUAAAGGGAGGAUUGGCUAAAGAAUUCCUUCCUUCACCCCCCUCCACCGACCCCCAAAGACCACAUGCAACCACUAAUGGAGAACCGACUAGUGCGCUCACUUUCACUGGAGUGCUGUCGAAACGGAGGCUUAGAAGAAAGCGAGGAUGGAGAAGUUGAUGAUGGUGGACUCCAAAAUUAUGUUCCCAGGCUGACUGACUUUGCAGCUCAAAUUUCUGCAGAUAUCCUUCAUUUUAUCACCACAAACAAGAUCAAAGUAAAGGAUGAGGGUUGUGUGAAAAGCAUGUGGGUUAUUGCUGACCAACUAGCGAGUGAAAUUGUCACAACGUCUCUAGCAGAGGUGAUGGCGAGAGGAGAAAGGAAGAUCUUGGAGGAAGAAACAACAUCAUACUCAACGUAUAAGCUAGGACAGGAUGUGUUUAAACAUGGAACCCAGCCACAUCUUUCGGGCCAAGCUGUAGAACCACAGCCAUGGGAAGAAGGAAGAUAUUCAAACACACUGUAAAGACUCAGUCAACUCCCACAAAGCCAAAACCUUCAGAUGUCGCAGCGAUAAAUCAGAACUGAACCCCAUUACAGAUGACGCCAUAAAAGUGAAGUCAUCGGUACACACAUUUGCCAACAACUUUGCAGAAGACGUGCUUCAGAAUUUAGUGUGUACUGCUUCCAGCUUACUGUUUACCCUAACUAUAAGCAACCCUAACUAUAAGCAAUCUCAGGGAGCAGAAUUUGGCCCAGAGAAAGACAUUACACCAUGGGUAAUCAAGAUGCGUGCUGGGGAUAGUCUUGUCCAGGAACUGCAAUGUGCUCUACUCUGGGCCGCAGCCUCUCAGAAAAGGACUAAAGCACUUCAGUUUGAUCUACCAGACAAAAGCCUUCAGCAAAAGGUACAAAAUAUUACAGUUUUCACAGACUGAAUUUUAUAUAGUCUCUAUAACAGAGGAAAAUGUGGCUGGUUGUAACACUGUUUGCUUUAAUGUCUGAAGGACGUUCACACCAAGGACAAUACCUACAGUAAAACAAUAACUAUAAAGUUUUAAUAAUCAUUCAGAUUCUAUGAGAAUAGGAAAGUCCACACCACAGCUAUAAUGAUAAGACAGAAGAUUAAUAUCAGAAUCACUUUCAGAAUGAUUUUUGCAGCUCACGAGCGAUGAAAACAAUAACAGCCAAUCAGAAUCCACCCGGCUUUAAUAAGCUCGAGCAUUUAAAGCAGCAGAUGACAUAGCUGCAGCACAUGCUUAUAAUAAACAUAAGUUCGUUAGCGUCCAGUGGUCCAUUGUAUAUAUAGUAAACAUUCUUGGUAAGAACAGGCCUUUAGCUAUGGUGUGGAAUUCUCUAUUCUCAUAGAAUUUGAAGGAUUAUUGAAACGGUUAUCGUUAUUGUUAUCGUUCUUGGUGUGAAUGGUCUUUAACGCUGUAUUUUUGAGUUGUAACAAUAGGUGGGGGGUAGGUUGCCAAGGACAUUGACAUCAGGUUAAAUUUUGUGCUGAUUUUGUUUUAU